ACACAUGCUCUCUAUACUGCUGUUAGAAUUAUCUGCAUUCACCUUUGGGCAUGUUUUUGCCAACAUCUGACUUGAAAUAGAGGUCUGCCUAUGCCUGAGUUCUCUCUUACUACAACUUGAGGAGUUUUUCUGUUUUUUGUUUGUUUGUUUGUUUGUAUUUUAAACACACUUACAGACACACAUCCUUCCUAUUGAAAUCAGGGCAGAAGUGGGAGCCUUCAUUGCUCAGAAAAUCUAAGUCCUGCUUUGGUCACUUCUUGUAUAACAUCAUUAACCACAACCCUCAUGGUAAUGAAGCUGAUGCUGCCUGGCACACAAAAGGAAGCAAGGGGUGUCCACAUCUCUGCUUCCAGCUCUGAGGGCCACCUUUGGAGGGCAGUGGGGGAGGAGGGAGGCAACACAGGAUCUUCAGGCCAGUCCCAGCUUCAUGAAAAGCCCUUGUGCCCAAGCAGAUGCCAGGCCACAAAGCAGACUGUGCAUCCUGUCUCCUCUGUAGACUAGAAAGUGUCUAGUCCCCAAGGACCUAAAGGCUCACAAUUCACUAAAAUCACUUUGGAACAGUUUGAUGCAGUUUGAUGUAAUUUCCUUCAUCAAACCACAGUUGAGACCAGGUCAUUAUUUUUUGGAUGACAGUCAUGUCAAAUAUUGCAAUCACCAUCUCUGUUCAUCAACAGAUUAUUUGGAAAUCAUUAAAAUGAUUUUAUGAGCAAUUUGCACCUCAUUUUAUAUCACUCAAUAAGCAAUACAAUGACACAUGUAUCCCUACAUGUAUCAUUUGUAACAUAUGUUUUCUAUUACUUUCUGAAUGUUGGAUAUUUUGAAUAUCAUCUUUGAGUGCACAUGUGUGGUUUUGGGUGGAGGAAAGUGGUGAAGCUUACUGUUCAAUAUCUUUUUUCCCAGUUUUAUGUGAGAAACCUAAUUUAGAUGAUAGAACCAAGUUCAUAUUUUGGUGUAGAGAGGUUCUCAACCUGAUCUUAAUUAAGAUUGGCUGGGUUUCUGAUCACUUUUUUAAUCCAAAUAUGGAAAGAGUAAUGUAUCUUAUUUCAGCUUAUAACCCUUCAGAAAGUUAUCUGUUCAUUCAUCAAGGCCCCACAAAAUCUUUAGUCUUUUGUGUGCCUUAACAAAUGUUUGAAACAAUCGAAAGAUUUAGAUAAGAUCACAAUUACCAAGAAAAUGUAGAUGGAACUCCUUGACCACUAAAGAGGUGAGCCACAAUCAGGUUCAAAUACAGUUCAUCACUCCCAAAAUCCAUCAGCAUACACCUUCAGUCUGUUUUCGCUAAACUCUUCUACUCACUGUCCACCAAAUACACUUCAUGUCAUACAUCGUCUUGCCUCUUUCCUUUAUCAUCCCAUAUACCAAUUUCUCUAUUCUUUUGCAGACUGAAUUACCUCCCCUAUCCCUUUCAACUUUUUCAAAUCCUGUUCAUUCUUCAGGAUCCUAAUUCACCCCAGCAGCAUAAAAUGUAUGACUUUCCCCCAGGCCCAGGCUUCGCAAUCUCUGCUGCAUCUGAGUUCUUAUAACACACACGAUAGUCGUUUCAUGUUUACCUGGCUCUGCUGUGAUGUGUCAGUCUGCUCUGUUGGUAUUUCCCUGUUAUGUUGCUCUUAACUUUUCAGCUGCAUUAUGUCUUUCAUGCCUUCAUAGGCUGUAAGUUCCUGAGGAUAGACAAGCUGUGUCUCAUUAUUUUUGGAGUCAUAACAGCCCCAGGUUCAAGGCCGUGCACAGAGAAGCAGCUCAUCAAACUCCUCUUGUUGGAUUCCUCUGCUCUUUCAAGCACUUUCUUUGUCAGUAGCCUUCCAGGCUUGAAUAAAUCGCCUGUUUUAUCCAUUCAACCCCUCAUACAGUGCUCGGCCUUCUCUCCUGUCUUACUUUCAUCACCUCCGUAGCGAACAUCUCCUGCUUCAUGAAGCUCUUGGGUUAAUCCCAGAAGAGGAAAGGAACAUUUAGCUUGUAACAUCAAGAAGUACCAGAUUCAAAAAGACUCAAAGUUAAGGAAAAUUCAACAGGACAACAAAGAUAACAUUGAAGCUCAGCCAUAUCAAGGAGAAUUUCAAAAUACUAACAACACUUGAAGGAGUUAUUCCAUCUAUCAGAAUUGGAAACCACUGGCAUAGACCCACAUAUGUGUCUUAAACCACCGUUAAGACAACAGAGGCCCAGAGGCCAAAAGGACAUAUCUAAAGUCACACAAGUAAAAUCAUACUCAUGGUGAUUAUAUGUACUGGAUUUAUCAGGACAGUAUGUUUCAUUGUUCCUACAAAUCAUUGAGGAAUCUUUACAAAGCUCCUAGAUUACCAAUUACAACCCAAACAAAGGACUGGAAAUCUUUUGGACACCAAGAAUACAUGGUCACCAGUUUAAAAAAUAAAACCAUAGAUAAGGUCUUGAACAGUAGCUGAAACCAACAGAACUAAAUUCAGUAGGAGGACAGAUGCUCCCCUUUCUUGGCAUUAAAAAACCAGGAGGGGGCAUUUGGCAGGGGAAGGAGAAGACAGAAAGUGGGGAA